rnacentral:lncRNA from 1 species
CCCUAAUUGCAACUUGGUAUUUAAGUUCAUUGUAAAGGCUGUUUGCUCGUGGGUUAGGAUAUCUGCCUGCUGAAGCCUUGGGGAAUGGAGUGGCAGGAGCACAGUGGAGCUUUUUGUUAUGAUUUAAAAGAACUGCUGGAGCAAACUAGACAAUGUGGGGCUCGGGAUCCCAGCUCGGUGAAGCUGACUGAUCUGUGUCUCAAGUCGGACCCAAACUUUCAUCACAUAUUAAGGCAAACUCCCGUCAUAUGCAGUGGGCUAAAUUCUCUUCUCAUUUACAUGGAAAUGGGAGGGCUGAUGGAUAUUGUAUGCAGGUCACAAUGUCAGAUUUCCAAUCAGAUCAUCAAAAUUAAGCAUCAGUUUGAUAAACCCAAUUUUCCAGCUGGAAACACAGUAGUCCUGAUAGCUGUAAUCUUGGAGCAGGUAUUGCAGUCUUGUGACCACGUCGGGUCAGAAACCCACUUAACAGCAGGGAGAACCUGAGCAUUUUCAACUCCCAUUUGGCUCACGGGCAGCUGAAGACUUUCAUCAUCAUGCACAGGAGCCUGAACAUCUCUCACAGUGCUAAAAGAGGAUAAAGAAAUAAGUUGACUGUUUUUGCAGAAAGGUGGAUGUUUCUGAAUGUGAAGCCCAAAACACAGUUUAGUCCUUUUGUUGCCACCUCUGCAGGGAAAACUUUGACUGUAUUGAGCUCUGAG